CACGUAGGCGGAUAUUUAAGUCAGGGGUGAAACCCCAGAGCUCAACUCUGGAACUGCCUUUGAUACUGGGUAUCUUGAGUAUGGAAGAGGUAAGUGGAAUUCCGAGUGUAGAGGUGAAAUUCGUAGAUAUUCGGAGGAACACCAGUGGCGAAGGCGGCUUACUGGUCCAUUACUGACGCUGAGGUGCGAAAGCGUGGGGAGCAAACA
rnacentral:rRNA from 1 species